GACGAACGCUGGCGGCGUGCUUAACACAUGCAAGUCGAACGGAAAGGCCCUGCUUGCAGGGUACUCGAGUGGCGAACGGGUGAGUAACACGUGGGUGAUCUGCCCUGCACUUCGGGAUAAGCCUGGGAAACUGGGUCUAAUACCGGAUAGGAGCCAUUUUUAGUGUGAUGGUUGGAAAGUUUUUUCGGUGUAGGAUGAGCUCGCGGCCUAUCAGCUUGUUGGUGGGGUAAUGGCCUACCAAGGCGGCGACGGGUAGCCGGCCUGAGAGGGUGGACGGCCACAUUGGGACUGAGAUACGGCCCAGACUCCUACGGGAGGCAGCAGGGGGGAAGAUUGCACAAUGGGCGCAAGCCUGAUGCAGCGACGCCGCGUGGGGGAUGACGGCCUUCGGGUUGGAAAAUCCUUUCGCUAGGGACGAAGCUUUUUGUGACGGUACCUAGAGAAGAAGCACCGGCUAACUACGUG
rnacentral:rRNA from 1 species